GAAGCCCUCCCACAGCGCUGCCAUUGACGAGCAUUUACUCAGUUAGUGGUAGAGGUUUGUUUGAAACAGACCGCAAUGGAGAGACUAGCGCCCAGGGGACCGAGGGAACAGCAGGCUCCUUGCAGCAGCACAUCGAGAUCAGAUAUCUCUUCUAUUUCCGGGCACAUAUUUGAUGGGCCAAGACAAUGUAAUAUUUCCUCGGUACAACACCAAGUGUGACCAGCUGCUCUGCCAAACAGCAGGAACAAGACAAUGUAAUAUUUGCUCAGUACAAAGCCAAGGGUGACCAGCUGCUUCUAAUAAACAGCAGGUAUGUUA